GGUGAGUGAAGAGGCUUCGGGGUUAUAAAGCUCUUUUGUCAGGAAAGAAACACCGGCUCUAACACAGUCCGGGAAUGACGGUACCUGAAGAAUAAGCACCGGCUAACUACGUGCCAGCAGCCGCGGUAAUACGUAGGGUGCGAGCGUUAAUCGGAAUUACUGGGCGUAAAGCGUGCGCAGGCGGUUAUACAAGACAGGCGUGAAAUCCCCGGGCUUAACCUGGGAAUGGCGCCUGUGACUGUAUAGCUAGAGUGUGUCAGAGGGGGGUAGAAUUCCACGUGUAGCAGUGAAAUGCGUAGAUAUGUGGAGGAAUACCAAUGGCGAAGGCAGCCCCCUGGGAUAACACUGACGCUCAUGCACGAAAGCGUGGGGAGCAAACAGGAUUAGAUACCCUGGUAGUCCACGCCCUAAACGAUGCUGACUAGUUGUUCGGGAUUUACAUCCUGAGUAACGUAGCUAACGCGUGAAGUCAGCCGCCUGGGGAGUACGGUCGCAAGAUUAAAACUCAAAGGAAUUGACGGGGACCCGCACAAGCGGUGGAUGAUGUGGAUUAAUUCGAUGCAACGCGAAAAACCUUACCUACCCUUGACAUGUCACUAACGAAGUAGAGAUACAUUAAGUGCUCGUAAGAA
rnacentral:rRNA from 1 species